CAGAGACAGAGAGAGAGAGAGAGAGAGAAAAAAAGUAUACAUACAGCUGAUGGCUACGAUUCGAUGGAGCCUGAGAUGUGUCUGUUGGAAUUCACGAAGAUGGAAGCAGACACCACCAUAAAGUCAGUCUGAUUGAUGUCGUCCCAGUCCCACAUCGAAACUUCGACGUUAUAGACAUGGAGUUUAUAAGAAAGAAGAAAAGAGAAGACGUUGUCCCUUCGGGGACAUCCGAUAAAAUUGGAACGAUACAGAGAAGAUUAGCAUGGCCCCUGCGCAAGGAUGACACGCACAAAUCGAGAAAUGGUCCAAAUUUUUUUCUAUCUUUUUGCUUCGACAAAUUUGCAGCAGAAGAAUCGGAGAGCUAGGGUUUCGUAUACUUUUUUGCCUCAAUUUCUUUGAGAAAUUUGUACAAUCAUCGAAGAGAUGGCCUUUCUUUUUGCAGGAAUGUAUUUGUUGUAUGUAUUUCGCUAUCUCCUUGAUGCCGAUGACUUCAGGGACAUUCUCUUCAUCAACAGCAGCUGAUUAGUAACUGUUUACAAUUGAUUCUAAAUUCAUUUUUAUUUUUAUUAUUGUUUUUUCAAAUUUAAGUUUAAUAUCCUCUUCUUCUAGACUUAAAAGCUACUAGUUUUGUUUCAAUUUCGUUUGUCCAGAAUGAGUGACUUUCUAGGGUUUAAACGAGCUUGGAAAAGGACAAAUCACUUCAAAGUUAAACUUUUGUUUCUGACUAAAAGUGGUGAGAUUUGGUCUAUGGAUGGGGUUAAUUGUUUCUGAACUUGGCCUCAUAUUUGGAUUCUAUAAGACCAAAUCUCAUCAUGCCCUAUUGUUAUCUUGGAUAUUUAUUUUCAUUUAUUCGUGUACACAUAUGCUUAUGCAUACCCUGCAUCCUCUCAAGCAUGACGUGUUCACACCACUACUUGGUCUAGUUUAAUUUGGAUCUGUUUGAACUCUAUGGAGUCUCUAUGAUUUCAAUAGUAAGCUCUUGAUCUUGAGUUAAUUUUCUAGUUGACAUGUCAAUUUGCAGUUAGUGUAAUUUUACUUUUCGUCAUACCACCGGGUAUAUCAUAACAUUGCAGCAACUAGUUUAAUCUAUUGAGCUUGCUUAUAAAUAAUGCACUCAAAUUUCAGAAUGUCUAGCUUGAAUCCUGAAGAUGUAGUAGAAUAAACUGUAUACAUGGCAUUUCUUAAGCCCUUCUGGUAUGCUUGUGGGCAAUGUAUCAACAACUAAGGUUGGAGUUGUAUGCCGUGCACAACACAUUUCAAUUACAAGGCACUGAAGGAAAUCAUCAAACGCACCCUUAUUACAUCUCUCUCUUCUCAUGUGAGAAAGCCUUAUAUUGCGCAAAGGCAAGGGGUAGCAUGGCGUAUGAAACCAUCAGCCACAAUUACUUUACAAGCUGGGGGAAACUCAGGCUGAUCCCUGAAAUAUAUAUAUAUAUAUUUCCUUUCUUGCUAAUCCAGUACAAGGUAAUUGUGUUGGUUAAUUAUAAAACUUUGUGGUCUGCCUUUGUUUAGGUUAAUGUUUAGGUUGUUUAGGAUUUGCCAUAUACUUUUGUUUUGUUUUCAUUAUUCUUGGAUAUUUGUAUUCAAAUAAAUAAUUUUGCCUUACCUGCGUUUGAUGUAUUCAGGGAGUGGUGCAUAGGGCAGGGGAACAAUAAAAAACUAAGUUAUUUUUGAAAUUUUAAAAAUUAUUUCUUUUCCAAAAAAGAGAAAUCCAUAUGAAAUUAAUGAGUUUUUGUUUUUUUAAACCAAAUUAACUUUUGAUAAUUUUUCAGAAAAUAAAUUCUGAAAACUCAACCAACAGAAGCCUCCUGCAAUCAGCGCCACACCUUCUGGUUUGCAUAUGAAUUUCUUCAGUGAACUUCGGUGUGCAAUAUAUGUGAUGCAAAUGCCAGCUCUGACACCUAAGAUCUAAAUCACAGAACUUGAAGCAUUUGUCUGGCUUUGGACUUUCUGAGUACUUUAGACUUUGUGAUCAAGACGGUUUAUUGUAUUCUACUAAUUAGGCAAUUUCUCGUUUAUUGUAUGUGUUCAAUAAACCUUGAUGUAUUCUACUAAUUAGGCAAUUUCUCGUUUAUUAGGCAUAAAAAAGUAUGGUUUUGUGCUUGGCACAUGCCUAGAAGAACACGAAGUUGUAUCAAUAUGUUGAGUGUGUAUGUCUACAAUUGUAUGUGAUUAGGUCCCAUUAUAGAGAAUCAAUUUAGGUUAACUUGGCUUACACUGAAAGAUUUUGAUUGUCUACGAUGAUUGUUUUAUCCAUAUGUUGCUUGCUUAAUAUCAUAAGCUGGCUAUUCAUCUUGUAUGUGAAUGCGGUGUUCUU